UACGUAGGUGGCAAGCGUUAUCCGGAUUUAUUGGGUGUAAAGGGCGUGUAGGCGGGAGCGCAAGUCAGAUGUGAAAACUCAGGGCUCAACCCUGAGCCUGCAUUUGAAACUGUGUUUCUUGAGUGCUGGAGAGGCAAUCGGAAUUCCGUGUGUAGCGGUGAAAUGCGUAGAUAUACGGAGGAACACCAGUGGCGAGGGCGGAUUGCUGGACAGUAACUGACGCUGAGGCGCGAAAGCGUGGGGAGCAAACUGG
rnacentral:rRNA from 1 species